GUGGUCGGGCUUAUCUUUCUUUUUCCAUUUUUCUUCUCAUUUCUCAACCACAAAAUUUUUCCUCUCUUUCAUUCUGGAUCUGCAGCUCUGAAGAACUUCUGUUCUGCUGAAAUCAUUUAAUCUUGUUAUUUGUUUUUAUAUUUUCGUUUUGGGUUUAUACUUCUUAAUCGAUUUCACCUGACCUGUAAUUAAUACUACAAUUGGAAGCAUCGAUCUGAGAUUUUAGGUCAUUUGUUAGUUAUUUUGCUUCAGCUGCUAUUGGUAAUCAUAAUAAGCCAGGUAAGUCAUCUUUUUGUUGUAGUUUUGGAAGAGAAUUUUUCUGAAUAUCAUCUUAAGAUCUCAAAACUCACAAAUUUUAACACCUCUCUUUCGAUUCGGAAAUGGUGUUUUGACAAGUGACCUUGUGACAAUUCUCAUCAGCGUUAGUUAAAAAUCAUGAAGAGAUUUCGAAGAUUUUUUUGUUGUUGCUGUUGUUAGGGUUCCCAAUUGGGUUUUCAUAUAUCUCUCGGUAUUAAUUUUAAAAUAAAAUCGAAUUUCAGAUUCAACAAUAGUGUAGCUAGGUUUCUGUCAAGUCCUGCUUGCAUGCUUAAUCAAGUGCAUCUGGACUUAAUUUGUUCUUAUUCGUUAUUAUUAAUGUCGAUUGAGAAUUGUUUUGGCUAGUUAGACAUAGCAAUAGUUUAAUCAAGCUUCCGACCUUUGAAUUAUGAUAACUAAUCGAAUUAUUUUUCUUUCCAUUUCGGAGAAGCCGAUGUAUUGGAUGAGCUCAACGGUUGACAACAGUUUUGAAGACAGGGAGGUGCAUAUACCCUUGAUGCGGCUUAGUUCGAGCACAUCUUGUACCCAAUCUCACUGUCUGCAAUAAGGAUUUUUUCAAUUUACGUUGUCUAAUGUAAUUUGCUUGGAUUAGUUAUGUCUAUAUUAGAAUGGUUUAGCAGUUUAUUGUGAUUUUUGCUUGAUUCAAGUCGUAGCUACAGGUUAGAAUUAAAGUAGAUAUUUGCGAAGGAGAAUCAGAGUAGUACUGCUAAGUUAUUAGAGCAAGUAAAAGUGAAAGAUACAGAAGAUGUGACACUGGAAGCAGUAACUACGUCGUUGAGAAAAGCACAUUGCGGGCAUUGGGCAGGAGAUUAUGGAGGUCUUAUGUUUUUUAUGCCUGGAAUGGUAAUUAUGAAACAUAAUUCUAUGUUCUAAAUUUUUUUAGUUGUUAUGGAAAUUCCCUUUGUCUUUAUUCAGAUUUCGUUGAGAUUCAUGAAUUACGCAUCUAUUAAUGCCUAUUUUAGUGGUCUUGUGGGACGUAUUAUUGCUCUACAUAUUACUGCAGCACUGAAUGCUGUGUUGAGCAUAAAAAAGAGAUGUGUCCACAUCUUUACAAUCAUCAGGUAAGUGAAACGUUUUCCGAUUACCUGUUGUCUUUGUCUCUGGCUUAACUUGUUUAGAAUCAUCGAAGACUAUUUAGUUUUCCACUGUGUUCAUAUCUUGUGAAUUGAUAAAUGUGGAGUGUAGAAUGAGGAUGGGAUUUAUCCAAAAUUCUGUACCACACUGAGUAGGUCUACAUUAAAUAUAGGUAUUGUUUUCUUCUUACUAUUUGGUAUCCUUUAUUCUUCUGGUUUUAUUUGUUGGACUAUAGAUAUUGAAAGCUUUGAUAACAUGUGUUGAAAGUUAUAUAGAAACUUAAAAACACUCGAUACUACUUCGAAGAUAUACGAGCUUAGUAUCGCAUUAACGUUGCUUGUAUAAAGCGCUCCCAGAAUUAUAGUAGUAUUGGUUAUGAAGCAAGACUUAAGUCCCUCAAACUCUCUUCCCUUUAUGCAAUUUUUUAAUGGGAUAGGGGUUACCUCGUAGAAUGCACCAAAGUCCAAUAAGCAUCCUGCUGCAGACCUAACAACCGAGGCAGUCAUAGAGUAAACAAAGACUACCAGCAAGCAGUAGAUACUCUUUUAACAAUAUCCAGUAGCCAAAGACAGCAUAUGUUAAGUCCAGCACAACAUUAUUUAAUGUUGGGUGAUGCAGUAGCUGUAAGUUGUGGAGUGUACAUCUGUUUCAAUUCAAGCACUAACAACGUCUAAGAAGUUAUAUCCUGGACAUCGGAGCGACGAGAUAAAACAUCACCAAAGCUGUUAAAUUCAUUGAAAGUAUUCAACAACCAGAUGGUUCAUGGUCUACACGAACCUUGAGGUCAACCAAUCUCACAUGGUAAAGGAUGAGCUGUGUUGGCUCUCAUUGAUGCUGGGAAGGUGUGCGUGGUGUUUUGCUGAUUACUAUGUCUUUUUCGUUAGUUGUGUUUUGAAACUAGAACUGCAUGCUUGAGUUACUUGUGCAGUAACAAAUCUCUUGACGCAACUCCACUCCGAACUCUUAAGUGGGUCAGAGCAUAAGGCGGUGACUGAUGACAAAGACAUGCAUAUGUUUACGAGGCUUAGAGGAAUAGAAAAAAAACUUCUAUUGGCAGUUGUCGGACUUGGUCACAUAGACGGAAUUGAACUAUUAUGGAAAUGUGUAGAGGAUGCCGAUGAUGAUAAGUUUCUACAGGCAACAUCAGAAAAGGGAGAUCCACCAACAGGGUAAUUUCAUCUUUGGGAACACUUUGUUUCAGUUGACACAAACUAGGUCACCCAUCCAUUUAUGAACGUCAACAUACAACAUUGUAUGUCAGUCACAAAAAUUUUGGUCUUCAUGAUCAUCUCAGUAAGUUUGCUAUGAUACUUGUAUACAUUUGUAUCUCCUACUCAUACUUUAAGUUUGAGUUCACUUCAAUUGAAGGAUCCUUUUUUUAUACUAGUGAUUCUCAACAAUAGAAUUAUGUAUGUCCAUUGAAUGAGAUUGUAGUUUGUAUAUCUUUGGGUAUGUUGAAUAUGGGUACUAGGAAAUGGCAGG